rnacentral:rRNA from 1 species
AUUGAACGCUGGCGGCAUGCCUUACACAUGCAAGUCGAACGGCAGCACGGGAGCAAUCCUGGUGGCGAGUGGCGAACGGGUGAGUAAUAUAUCGGAACGUGCCCAGUCGUGGGGGAUAACGUAGCGAAAGCUACGCUAAUACCGCAUACGAUCUAUGGUUGAAAGCGGGGGAUCGCAAGACCUCGCGCGAUUGGAGCGGCCGAUAUCAGAUUAGGUAGUUGGUGAGGUAAAGGCUCACCAAGCCGACGAUCUGUAGCUGGUCUGAGAGGACGACCAGCCACACUGGGACUGAGACACGGCCCAGACUCCUACGGGAGGCAGCAGUGGGGAAUUUUGGACAAUGGGCGCAAGCCUGAUCCAGCAAUGCCGCGUGCAGGAUGAAGGCCUCGGUU